UUAACUAUCGAAAUUUGUUUUAUUUUAAUAUAAAUUAUAUUCGUCAUUAUUUAUUAUGUAUUAAUCAAAAUGUAGUUUUAAUUUAUCAAACUGUUUAUUGAGGUCAUCGCCGUAUGAUUAAACAAUCAAAUUUUACGAACACACGUUCUUAAUAUAACGCGCACCUAUAUCACUAUGUUAAUAAAUUAUAAAUCGGUAGGUCAAAAGACCUUCGGUAAAUACAUUAUGACAUCGUGAUCUCAUAGUUCAAUAAUCUUAAUAAUCGAAUUUCGGCACGAUUAAAAUACCAAAUACAAUAUUAUUUUCGUAACGUUCGAUAAUCGAUUUUGGCCAACUCGAGAAUUUCGAAAAACCGCCGCACAACGCGUUCUACACCUAUUACUACGCCUAAGCUGGCGCGUUGGGGAUUCGUCAA